rnacentral:lncRNA from 1 species
ACAGUUCUUAACGGCCGCGCGUCCAGAGUCUGUUCCUUCUGAUGUUCGGAUGUGUUCGGAGUUUCUUCCUUCUGGUGGGUUCGUGGUCUCGCUGGCUCGGGAGUGAAGCUGCAGACGUUUGCGGUAAUUCAGUUCCAACCCCUUCAGUGACAGCAGAGAGACCCAGGCCACCUUCCUUGAGGAUUUCGGAGCUGCAGCCCACAGCCAGGGCCAGAGUGGACUCAGCUCUCCAACCCACGCCCAUGAAUCUCUGCGACUAAAGAUUUCCCCAGACGCUCCCAGGUUCCUCCUGAUCUGCAGCAUUGUCGUCCCUGCCACUGACCAGGAAGCCCUCUGUGCUCCCAUAGCCCCUUCAGAAACCUGUGACUUCCUGAGUCCUAAGUCUUCAGCAGAAACAGCAGCUGCCCCACGCCUUGAGCGGCAGCAGGACCCUUUCUGCCCUGAUCUCCACUCAGCGCUGGAAGCCUGGCUCACAUUCUCUCUACUCACAUCAGCCUGAUGUCUUCAAGCCAGGAUUUCUUGGGGUUUAUCUCACCAGAUGCAAUCAACUCAAGUUCCCUCUGUGGCGCCUUCUCAUU